UGGGGAAUAUUGGACAAUGGGGGCAACCCUGAUCCAGCAAUACCGCGUGUGUGAAGAAGGCCUGAGGGUUGUAAAGCACUUUCAGUGGGGAGGAGUGUUGACAGGUUAAGAGCUAGUUAACUGGACGUUACCCACAGAAGGAGCACCGGCUAACUCCGUGCCAGCAGCCGCGGUAAUACGGAGGGUGCGAGCGUUAAUCGGAAUUACUGGGCGUAAAGGGUGCGUAGGUGGUUAGUUAAGUUAUCUGUGAAAUCCCUGGGCUCAACCUGGGCAGGUCAGAUAAUACUGAUUAACUCGAGUAUAGGAGAGGGUAGUGGAAUUUCCGGUGUAGCGGUGAAAUGCGUAGAGAUCGGAAGGAACACCAGUGGCGAAGGCGGCUACCUGGCCUAAUACUGACACUGAGGCACGAAAGCGUGGGGAGCAAACAGGAUUAGAUACCCGGGUAGUCCCUGAGCGGGCUGGCAAGGCGCAU
rnacentral:rRNA from 1 species